CUACUAGCUAGCUUAUACAUAUCAGCGCCCACUUAAGCAAUCCACGACACAGAUCACACGGAGAGAUCUUAGGAUUGAAGAUAGAUUAAACAGUAUGAGAAUCAUCAUGAAAGUUUUGUUGUGUUUUCUUGGAAUGAUCAUCACAGUGAUCGCAGGAGAUGUAGCAGAAGGUGAAGAUUGCCAAUCUGAUCUGAUAGGGUUAGAGAUAGAGUGUCUGUAUUACAUGCACAAGGGAGUGCCUCCAUUGCAGGACCCUAAUGAUCGAUGCUGCAAAGACGAUUCAGGUGGCCAAUAUACCAUGCGUCUGCACCAAACUCACCCAGAAAAUCAUAAUACCACCUGGAUAUACCAUUGAAGAUUUGCUUGACUGGCAGAAAGUGUUGCACUGUUUGAACUUCUGCGGCAAACCUUUACCUCCUGGCUUCAAGUGUGGACAUUUCACCGUCCCCCCAGCUAGACCACCACACAAGUGAGGAUUUGGAAGAUGGCUAUGAUUUUGGAAGAGAU